UACGGAGGGGGCUAGCGUUGUUCGGAAUUACUGGGCGUAAAGCGCGCGUAGGCGGAUGUUCAAGUCGGGGGUGAAAUCCCGGGGCUCAACCCUGGAACUGCCUCCGAUACUGGACGUCUGGAGGACGGGAGAGGCGAGUGGAAGGCCGAGUGUAGAGGUGAAAUUCGUAGAUAUUCGGCGGAACACCCGUGGCGAAGGCGGCUCGCUGGUCCGUUUCUGACGCUGAGGCGCGAAAGCGUUGGGAGCAAACAGG
rnacentral:rRNA from 1 species